GACGAACGCUGGCGGCGUGCCUAAUACAUGAAAGUCGAACGCAGUGGGGACGGGUGAGUAACACGUGGGUAACCUCCCAUCAGAGGGGAUAACACUUGGAAACAGGUGCUAAACCGACACUGAUGGAUGGACCCGCGGUGCAUUAGCUAGUUGGUGAGGUAGCGGCUCACCAAGGCCACGAUGCAUAGCCGACAAGAUAGGGUUAUCGGCCACACUGAGACUGAGACACGGCCAAGACUCCUACGCGAGGCAGCAGUAGGUAAUCAUCGGCAAUUGACGAAAGUCUGACCGAGCAACGCCGCGUGAGUGAAGAAGUUUUUCGGAUCGUAAAACUCUGUUGUUGGAGAAGCGGUAUCUAACCAGAAAGCCACGGCUAACUACGUGCCAGCAGCCGCGGUAAUAC
rnacentral:rRNA from 1 species